rnacentral:rRNA from 1 species
UACAGAGGGGGCAAGCGUUGUUCGGAAUUACUGGGCGUAAAGGGCGCGUAGGCGGCCUGCUAAGUCGAACGUGAAAUCCCUGGGCUCAACCCAGGAACUGCGUCCGAUACUGGUUGGCUUGAAUCCGGGAGAGGGACGUGGAAUUCCAGGUGUAGCGGUGAAAUGCGUAGAUAUCUGGAGGAACACCGGUGGCGAAGGCGGUUCUCUGGGCAUGUCCUGACGCUGAGGAGCGAAAGCGUGGGUAGCGAACAGG